rnacentral:rRNA from 1 species
GAUGAACGCUGGCGGCGUGCCUAAUACAUGCAAGUCGAGCGAACAGACGAGGAGCUUGCUCCUCUGACGUUAGCGGCGGACGGGUGAGUAACACGUGGAUAACCUACCUAUAAGACUGGGAUAACUUCGGGAAACCGGAGCUAAUACCGGAUAAUAUAUUGAACCGCAUGGUUCAAUAGUGAAAGACGGUUUUGCUGUCUCUUAUAGAUGGAUCCGCGCCGCAUUGGCUAGUUGGUAAGGUAACGGCUUACCAAGGCAACGAGGCGUAGCCGACCUGAGAGGGUGAUCGGCCACACUGGAACUGAGACACGGUCCAGACUCCUACGGGAGGCAGCAGUAGGGAAUCUUCCGCAAUGGGCGAAAGCUUGACGGAGCAACGCCGCGUGAGUGAUGAAGGUCUUCGGAUCGUAAAACUCUGUUAUUAGGGAAGAACAAAUGUGUAAGUAACUAUGCACGUCUUGACGGUACCUAAUCAGAAAGCCACGGCUAACUACGUG